rnacentral:sRNA from 8 species
GCCGUGUGCGGUGGCGCGUGCCUGUAAUCCAAGUCACUGGGAGGCUGAGGUUGGUGGAUCGAGUGAGCUGAGGAGCUCUGAGCUGCAGCAUGCUAUGUCGAACGGGUGUCCGUGCUAAAUUCGGUAUCGAUAUGGUGUUCUUGGGGGAGCCA